ensembl:misc_RNA Metazoa_SRP Metazoan signal recognition particle RNA
UCGGGUGUCUGCACUAAGUUCGCCAUCAAUAUGGUGACUUCCCAAGAGUGAGGGGCCACCAGGUUGCCUAAGGAGGGGUGAACUGGCCCAAGUCAGAAACUGAGCAGGUCAAAACUCCUGUGCAGCGCUGGGUGCGGUGGCUUACACCUGU